GACGUAGGGGGCAAGCGUUGUCCGGAAUCAUUGGGCGUAAAGAGCGUGUAGGCGGCCCGGUAAGUCCGCUGUGAAAGUCGGGGGCUCAACCCUCGAAAGCCGGUGGAUACUGUCGGGCUUGAGUUCGGGAGAGGGAUGCGGAAUUCCAGGUGUAGCGGUGAAAUGCGUAGAUAUCUGGAGGAACACCGGUGGCGAAGGCGGCAUCCUGGACCGACACUGACGCUGAGGAGCGAAAGCCAGGGGGAGCGAACAGG
rnacentral:rRNA from 1 species